rnacentral:lncRNA from 1 species
AACCCUUUUAAAAACGACUCCUAGUCCACGUAAGCCAAAGAAAAAGGUUCGGGAGUCACGUUUGACAAAGGGGAAGGCAAGGAUAGAAUCCAAGGCACCCCUUUGACCUAGCCAAGGCUAGUUGCGCGACUUAACCCUACCUUUCCUAAUUUUCUACCCAAUGUAUGGAUUGCGCGUUGGAUAUGACUAUAUGAAUGCAAAACGGAAAGGAAAACGCAAUCCUAAAUUCUACGAUGUCUCUUGUGAGGCUUUUGGUCCCAAACCACAUGGAUUGUGGCGGCCAACAAAGGAAAACCUCAUAGAGGUCGAUUAAUGCAAAUGAGAGUUCAAAUUCAAGUGUGCAAGUGUGAAAGUGUAUGAAAGAUGCAAGAAAUGUAAGUGCAAGUGUGCGAAUGUAUAAAAAGGUGCAUGUGUGAAUUUGGAUGAAAAAUCAAAGUAUU